GACGAACGCUGGCGGCGUGCUUAACACAUGCAAGUCGAACGGUAAGGCCCUUCGGGGUACACGAGUGGCGAACGGGUGAGUAACACGUGGGUGAUCUGCCCUGCACUUCGGGAUAAGCCUGGGAAACUGGGUCUAAUACCGGAGAGGACCACUGCCUGCAUGGGUGGUGGUGGAAAGCUGUUGCGGUGUGGGAUGGGCCCGCGGCCUAUCAGCUUGUUGGUGGGGUGAUGGCCUACCAAGGCGACGAAGGGUAGCCGGCCUGAGAGGGUGACCGGCCACACUGGGACUGAGAUACGGCCCAGACUCCUACGGGAGGCAGCAGUGGGGAAUAUUGCACAAUGGGCGCAAGCCUGAUGCAGCGACGCCGCGUGAGGGAUGACGGCCUUCGGGUUGUAAACCUCUUUCAGCACCGACGAAGCGCAAGUGACGGUAGGUGCAGAAGAAGGACCGGCCAACUACGUGCCAGCCGCCGCAGUAA
rnacentral:rRNA from 1 species